GACGAACGCUGGCGGCGUGCCUAAUACAUGCAAGUAGAACGCUGAAGAGAGGAGCUUGCUCUUCUUGGAUGAGUUGCGAAUGGGUGAGUAACGCGUAGGUAACCUGCCUUGUAGCGGGGGAUAACUAUUGGAAACGAUAGCUAAUACCGCAUAACAAUGGAUGACCCAUGUCAUUUAUUUGAAAGGGGCAAAUGCUCCACUACAAGAUGGACCUGCGUUGUAUUAGCUAGUAGGUGAGGUAACGGCUCACCUAGGCGACGAUACAUAGCCGACCUGAGAGGGUGAUCGGCCACACUGGGACUGAGACACGGCCCAGACUCCUACGGGAGGCAGCAGUAGGGAAUCUUCGGCAAUGGGGGCAACCCUGACCGAGCAACGCCGCGUGAGUGAAGAAGAGUUUCGGAUCGUAAAGCUCUGUUGUAAGUCAAGAACGAGUGUGAGAGUGGAAAGUUCACACUGUGACGGUAGCUUACCAGAAAGGGACGGCUAACUACGUG
rnacentral:rRNA from 1 species